rnacentral:tRNA from 1 species
AGCUCUGGGGUGUUCCUGACACGUCAGAUUGCAAAUCUGAAGUAGCAGGGUGAUACCCUGCCGGGGCUU